GGCGCGGUGUACCCCGAUGGGUAAGGGGGCACUCCCGGCUUGCCGGGGCUGUUGAUGCCAGUUCGAGUCUGGCUCCGCAUCA
rnacentral:tRNA from 1 species